rnacentral:rRNA from 1 species
AAUCCAUAGGUUAAUGAGGCGAACCGGGGGAACUGAAACAUCUAAGUACCCCGAGGAAAAGAAAUCAACCGAGAUUCCCCCAGUAGCGGCGAGCGAACGGGGAGGAGCCCAGAGCCUGAAUCAGCAUGUGUGUUAGUGGAAGCGUCUGGAAAGGCGCGCGAUACAGGGUGACAGCCCCGUACACAAAAGCGCAUGUGCUGUGAGCUCGAUGAGUAGGGCGGGACACGUGGUAUCCUGUCUGAAUAUGGGGGGACCAUCCUCCAAGGCUAAAUACUCCUGACUGACCGAUAGUGAACCAGUACCGUGAGGGAAAGGCGAAAAGAACCCCGGCGAGGGGAGUGAAAAAGAACCUGAAACCGUGUACGUACAAGCAGUGGGAGCCCCACCACCAAAGCAUUUGCUGUACCGCGUUGACGGAGCGAAGCGACGUCAAACCGAUAAAACAGCAGUGUAAAGUGAGCCGCAGGGCGCUUUGCGCGACAGCGCAAAGGCAGGCG